UCUCAAGUCCCUUAAAUUGCCUAGUCAGGAUAUUGAAGGCGAACUGGUCGAGGUGAGUGUGAAACAUCGUCAUUGGAGUGAUAGGUAUGCGUCUGUAGCCAGUGGACGUGAAAAAGUACACAAUUUUUCUUCUUUCUUACAAAAUUCACCCCCAAAAUAAUAAAAUAGAAACAAAUUGAACAAAAAAAAAAUAAAAAAUCACUUCUGUGCCGCCUGUAAGAAUAGACUGGUUGAGUCGAAGUCAGGCACUUUUUUUUUUUUUUUUUUUGCCCGCAUUGAUACCGGCUGGGAGAUGGAGAAUUGAAAUCUCUCUUUUUUAAGCAUAAAAUAACUAGCAAUUUAUUAAGUAGAAGGUAGGGAAUACCAUAGACAGAGGGGAUAAAAAAUGAUAUCGUUAUCAAGACACAUGAGUCUAAUCAAAGGGCGAGAUGUUGACCCAAAAUCGAACAAAUGACAUGAAACCUCUUCGAUCAGACUAUCAGUCGUGACGUGUCUCUUGCAUUGAUAAUUUCAACUGAAAUAAUUAGUCCCGUUAGGUGGGAACAAGGAGCACGCCUGCUUAAAAAAAGAUGGCGACAUCCUCACAAAACGUUAAUAGUUUUUCCCGAUCACUCAACCGGUUUGUUUUACAACUGAUGACAUCGUUACUCAUUGCAACGGUUUUCAACUCAUGCGAGACCCAAGGUUGGCUAGACCUCCGUGAAUCCUCGGAGGAAAACGAGAGUGAAAAUGCAGUACCACUAAAGCCCUUGGUCCCUUUGAACACAUUUAACCAUUUCAUACUGAGUGUGAAAGCGGGUAACUCUAGCGCAGCAGGAAACUCAUCCACAUCUGGAACGAAUUCGACAGAGAGGCCGUAUGAAAUUCCGUUGGCAGGCCUCCUGGUUCUGGCUCAUUUCGACGAGUUCAAAGCUCAGCUGGAGGACGCCUUAAAAGCUUUCAUCGCGAGCGGGAACGACGCGUCAACAAAACUCCACUACGAGGUCUUCGUUUUCGCCUCGUUCUACCCGAUCUCGAAGAUCUACAGCUGCGUGCCCAUCGGAGGAGAGAGCGAGGAGAGGGUCUGCGAGCACAUCCUCAUGCCGAAUCCAGAGGGAGGGGCCAUCAGCGCUUUCGUCAUCAAAUACACUUUGGCCCCGAGCGAGGACCAGCUUCAAGCCACCGCCGACGAAGGACUGAAGCAAAUGUUGGCCCACCGCAUCGAUGGGACUCUCCUGAAAAAUAAUCAGCACGUCAGAUUCGUGCACAGCCUUUGCCUCUCGUUCCAUAAAACAAGUGUUGGUCUAGCGCACAAGAAGGAAGUUAAGGAUGAAAUCAAAUUCUAAAACUGAAUUCAAAUCGUCACCUCCCAGCCGAG
rnacentral:lncRNA from 1 species